rnacentral:rRNA from 1 species
CCUACGGGAGGCAGCAGUGGGGAAUAUUGGACAAUGGGGGAAACCCUGAUCCAGCGACGCCGCGUGAGUGAAGAAGUAUUUCGGUACGUAAAGCUCUAUCAGCAGGAAAGAAAAUGACGGUACCUGACUACGAAGCCGCGGCUAACUACGUGCCAGCAGCCGCGGCUAUACGUAGGGGGCACGCGUUAUCCGGAUUUACGGGGUGUAAAGGGGGUGUAGACGGCAGCGAAAGUCUGCAGUGAAAGGCCGGGGCCCAACCCCGGAACUGCUCUGGAAACUGUGAAGCUGGAGUGGAGGAGAGGUAAGCGGAAUGCCUGGUGUAGCGGUGAAAUGCGUAGAUAGCAGGAGGAACACCGGCGGCGAAGGCGGCUUACUGGACUGUAACUGACGUUGAGGCUCGAAGGCGUGGGGAGCAAACAGGAUUAGAUACCCCGGUAGUC